GCAGAAAAUACUGGAGUUAUUAAUGUCACCAGGAAAUCUGCAACCUGGAUUGUGGUUCAGUCAUGUCCUGUGAAUUUUGUGUACAUGUUCAUGAAGGUACUGUGUCCCUUCAUCCUCCAGGGCAGCUGCUCCUGGCCAUCUGCUCAGUGCCCUGGUCUAUGCUGUGUCUGUGCACCUAGCCAUCUUAUUGCAUCUCUACCAGCAUGAUCUGGUGACCUACUGGAGUUGUGUCUGGGGUCUUGGACUGGACUGCAGCAUUGACUAGUGAUGAUUUUCUGGCUUGCUGCCUGGACUGAAAAUUUGUUAAAAAUUUAAUGAGAAUUUAAAUGAGAAUCUUGAAAAGGAAGAUGCCCUAGAAGUUCUGGCUGCAGUUUAUGGUUUUUGAAAUCCAAGUGUCAGGAUGAGGCAGAAGAGGCUGUGAACAUACCAGGUAAAGUUCUAGUUUUCUUACUUCAUCUAGCAGGAAGGUUGGUGUGGACUAGAAAUACAUAUACUAGUGACUUCAAUGAAAAUUCUACUGUGAAUAAAGUCUUCAGGGGAUACACAGAUCGCAUCACCUGCCUUAUCCACUGUAAAUGCUUCCAGCUCAGCAAAACACUAUCGUGAAGAACCCUGUGUAUCUCCUGUUGGUCACCUUCACCAUGCACAGCUGCAGCAUAGCUCCCUCCUUGUGCGUCUUGAAGGAUCAGUCCGGCAACUUUCUAAGGAAGGCAAGAAGAAGUAUGUUUCCUUGCAGAUUAGUAUUUAUUGGGCUAGCCGACUCUAUAUAU